UACAGAGGUCUCAAGCGUUGUUCGGAUUCAUUGGGCGUAAAGGGUGUGUAGGUGGCGCGCUAAGUCGGGUGUGAAAUUUCGGAGCUUAACUCCGAAACUGCAUUCGAUACUGGCGUGCUUGAGGACUGGAGAGGAGACUGGAAUUCAUGGUGUAGCAGUGAAAUGCGUAGAGAUCAUGAGGAAGACCAGUGGCGAAGGCGGGUCUCUGGACAGUUCCUGACACUGAGACACGAAAGCGUGGGUAGCAAACAGG
rnacentral:rRNA from 1 species